CCAACUGUAUAUAGAUGGUAACAAGCAUUGUGACAUCAUUUAGAAUUAUGUGAACUAUUGUAAAAACAAAACUGCCCAUAUGUUUAAAAGUCAUUACAUUCCAAGCUGUCAACAUAAAGUACAUCAAGCUCCUGGCUGAGGCAACAACCUCUCUGUUGAGCAAAAGGAAGAAGAGAGACACUGACGUUCUCUGGGCAAUAGCCACAAUGAAGGCCCAGAUGUGGAUAGCUGUGUCUUCCUUCACUGACAAUAACAUCUCCCUGAGAGCCCUCACAGGAAACCCCAAGUUCCCAAUACUGGCCAAAUCCAUCAUGUAAAGAAUUGUAAAGGCAGACCAGAGAGCCAACAGGAUGCUGCUCCCGUCUUUGGGCUUCUGGCCAAAUCAUCUCAGAAAAGUGUCGAGGCUUAAGGCCUCAGAAAGAAGAAAAGUAGUCACGUCUAGCAUAGAGGAAGCAGAGGGCCAUUUAAUGAAGGUGUGCUGUGAAGACAUCUGUAAUGGAACUCAUAAUCAUCUCUCCCAAUCCAACUGCAUCAUAAAACUCUCCCCUGGAGCUCCGCUGCUCAGUGAUUAUACAAUCUGGUAGUUGCCUGAGGUUGGUACAUACGUAAAAUAAAGGUCAGUUUUGCCAAUGCUAA